rnacentral:rRNA from 2 species
GGGUUGUGAGGUUAAGCGACUAAGCGUACACGGUGGAUGCCCUGGCAGUCAGAGGCGAUGAAGGACGUGCUAAUCUGCGAUAAGCGCCGGUAAGGUGAUAUGAACCGUUAUAACCGGCGAUUUCCGAAUGGGGAAACCCAGUGCGACUCGUCACACUAUCAUUAACUGAAUCCAUAGGUUAAUGAGGCGAACCGGGGGAACUGAAACAUCUAAGUACCCCGAGGAAAAGAAAUCAACCGAGAUUCCCCCAGUAGCGGCGAGCGAACGGGGAGGAGCCCAGAGCCUGAAUCAGCAUGUGUGUUAGUGGAAGCGUCUGGAAAGGCGCGCGAUACAGGGUGACAGCCCCGUACACAAAAGCGCAUGUGCUGUGAGCUCGAUGAGUAGGGCGGGACACGUGGUAUCCUGUCUGAAUAUGGGGGGACCAUCCUCCAAGGCUAAAUACUCCUGACUGACCGAUAGUGAACCAGUACCGUGAGGGAAAGGCGAAAAGAACCCCGGCGAGGGGAGUGAAAAAGAACCUGAAACCGUGUACGUACAAGCAGUGGGAGCACCCUUCGGGGUGUGACUGCGUACCUUUUGUAUAAUGGGUCAGCGACUUAUAUUCUGUAGCAAGGUUAACCGAAUAGGGGAGCCGGAGGGAAACCGAGUCUUAAUUGGGCGUUAAGUUGCAGGGUAUAGACCCGAAACCCGGUGAUCUAGCCAUGGGCAGGUUGAAGGUUGGGUAACACUAACUGGAGGACCGAACCGACUAAUGUUGAAAAAUUAGCGGAUGACCUGUGGCUGGGGGUGAAAGGCCAAUCAAACCGGGAGAUAGCUGGUUCUCCCCGAAAGCUAUUUAGGUAGCGCCUCGUGAAUUCAUCUCCGGGGGUAGAGCACUGUUUCGGCUAGGGGGCCAUCCCGGCUUACCAACCCGAUGCAAACUGCGAAUACCGGAGAAUGUUAUCACGGGAGACACACGGCGGGUGCUAACGUCCGUCGUGAAGAGGGAAACAACCCAGACCGCCAGCUAAGGUCCCAAAGUCAUGGUUAAGUGGGAAACGAUGUGGGAAGGCCCAGACAGCCAGGAUGUUGGCUUAGAAGCAGCCAUCAUUUAAAGAAAGCGUAAUAGCUCACUGGUCGAGUCGGCCUGCGCGGAAGAUGUAACGGGGCUAAACCAUGCACCGAAGCUGCGGCAGCGACACUGUGUGUUGUUGGGUAGGGGAGCGUUCUGUAAGCCUGCGAAGGUGGCCUGUGAGGGUUGCUGGAGGUAUCAGAAGUGCGAAUGCUGACAUAAGUAACGAUAAAGCGGGUGAAAAGCCCGCUCGCCGGAAGACCAAGGGUUCCUGUCCAACGUUAAUCGGGGCAGGGUGAGUCGACCCCUAAGGCGAGGCCGAAAGGCGUAGUCGAUGGGAAACGGGUUAAUAUUCCCGUACUUGGUGUUACUGCGAAGGGGGGACGGAGAAGGCUAUGUUGGCCGGGCGACGGUUGUCCCGGUUUAAGCGUGUAGGUGUGUGUUCCAGGUAAAUCCGGUUCACUUUAACACUGAGGCGUGACGACGAGGCACUACGGUGCUGAAGCAACAAAUGCCCUGCUUCCAGGAAAAGCCUCUAAGCAUCAGGUAACAUCAAAUCGUACCCCAAACCGACACAGGUGGUCAGGUAGAGAAUACCAAGGCGCUUGAGAGAACUCGGGUGAAGGAACUAGGCAAAAUGGUGCCGUAACUUCGGGAGAAGGCACGCUGAUAUGUAGGUGAAGUGAUUUACUCAUGGAGCUGAAGUCAGUCGAAGAUACCAGCUGGCUGCAACUGUUUAUUAAAAACACAGCACUGUGCAAACACGAAAGUGGACGUAUACGGUGUGACGCCUGCCCGGUGCCGGAAGGUUAAUUGAUGGGGUCAGCGCAAGCGAAGCUCCUGAUCGAAGCCCCGGUAAACGGCGGCCGUAACUAUAACGGUCCUAAGGUAGCGAAAUUCCUUGUCGGGUAAGUUCCGACCUGCACGAAUGGCGUAAUGAUGGCCAGGCUGUCUCCACCCGAGACUCAGUGAAAUUGAACUCGCUGUGAAGAUGCAGUGUACCCGCGGCAAGACGGAAAGACCCCGUGAACCUUUACUAUAGCUUGACACUGAACAUUGAGCCUUGAUGUGUAGGAUAGGUGGGAGGCUUUGAAGUGUGGACGCCAGUCUGCAUGGAGCCGACCUUGAAAUACCACCCUUUAAUGUUUGAUGUUCUAACGUGGACCCGUAAUCCGGGUUGCGGACAGUGUCUGGUGGGUAGUUUGACUGGGGCGGUCUCCUCCUAAAGAGUAACGGAGGAGCACGAAGGUUGGCUAAUCCUGGUCGGACAUCAGGAGGUUAGUGCAAUGGCAUAAGCCAGCUUGACUGCGAGCGUGACGGCGCGAGCAGGUGCGAAAGCAGGUCAUAGUGAUCCGGUGGUUCUGAAUGGAAGGGCCAUCGCUCAACGGAUAAAAGGUACUCCGGGGAUAACAGGCUGAUACCGCCCAAGAGUUCAUAUCGACGGCGGUGUUUGGCACCUCGAUGUCGGCUCAUCACAUCCUGGGGCUGAAGUAGGUCCCAAGGGUAUGGCUGUUCGCCAUUUAAAGUGGUACGCGAGCUGGGUUUAGAACGUCGUGAGACAGUUCGGUCCCUAUCUGCCGUGGGCGCUGGAGAACUGAGGGGGGCUGCUCCUAGUACGAGAGGACCGGAGUGGACGCAUCACUGGUGUUCGGGUUGUCAUGCCAAUGGCACUGCCCGGUAGCUAAAUGCGGAAGAGAUAAGUGCUGAAAGCAUCUAAGCACGAAACUUGCCCCGAGAUGAGUUCUCCCUGAGACUUAGAGUCUCCUGAAGGAACGUUGAAGACGACGACGUUGAUAGGCCGGGUGUGUAAGCGCAGCGAUGCGUUGAGCUAACCGGUACUAAUGAACCGUGAGGCUUAACCUUACAACGCCGAAG